CGCGACCCCAGGUCAGGCGGGGCUACCCGCUGAGUUUAAGCA
rnacentral:rRNA from 22 species